rnacentral:rRNA from 1 species
CCUACGGGUGGCAGCAGUGGGGGAUAUUGCACAAUGGGGGGAACCCUGAUGCAGCGACGCCGCGUGGGUGAAGAAGCGCCUCGGCGCGUAAAGCCCUGUCAGCAGGGAAGAAAAUGACGGUACCUGAAGAAGAAGCCCCGGCUAACUACGUGCCAGCAGCCGCGGUAAUACGUAGGGGGCAAGCGUUAUCCGGAGUUACUGGGUGUAAAGGGGGCGCAGACGGGGAUGCAAGCCAGGAGUGAAAGCCCGGGGGCCAACCCCGGGACUGCUCUUGGAACUGCGUGGCUGGAGUGCAGGAGGGGCAGGCGGAAUUCCUGGUGUAGCGGUGAAAUGCGUAGAUAUCAGGAGGAACACCGGUCGCGAAGGCGGCCUGCUGGACUGCAACUGACGUUGAGGCCCGAAAGCGUGGGGAGCAAACAGGAUUAGAUACCCGGGUAGUC